rnacentral:rRNA from 1 species
UGAUUCCCCUAGUAACGGCGAGUGAAGAGGGAAAAGCUCAAAGUUGGAACCUGGCUGCCCUAGGCAGUCCGGAUUGUAAACUAAAGAGCGUGAUUCCAGGCAAGCCGGUUGAUCAAGUCCUUUGGAAUGAGGCGCCACUGAGGGUGAGAGCCCCGUAAGUCGACUGAGCAUUUGUCUUUUGUGUUUCGCGUUCAAAGAGUCAGGUUGUUUGGGAAUGCAGCCUAAAGCUGGUGGUAAAUCCCACCUAAAGCUAAAUACAGGCGAGAGACCGAUAGCGAACAAGUACCGUGAGGGAAAGAUGAAAAGAACUUUGAAAAGAGAGUUAAACAGUAUGUGAAAUUGCCAAGAGGGAAGCAUUUGGAGUUAGAUUGACUAGGAGUUAAUCAGCUUGGUCUUUGGACUGGGUGUACUUGACUUCUUACAGUCUGCCAAUAGCAGUUAGUCCUAGUGGAAAAAACCAGAGGGAAGGUAGUCCUUCGGGAUGUUUAUAGACCUUUGGAAAAUACACUGGGAUUGACUGAGGAAUGCAGUAGAUGCCACUAAGGCUUCGUCUAGUGGGUGCUAGGCAAAGGUACUUGGUAUUUUCAGCUUGCUGAUGUGCUAGGUUACUCGAGUCUAGUCGCCUACUAGAACUGUAAUC